CCUAGGGGGACAAAGAACAAAUUUUAAAUCAAAGCCAACCCACAGCACGUUACUCUCACGAGCUCAACUGAAAAUGAAGAUCCUUUUGAAGAGCCACAGCUGAACACCUUACACAGGGCUUUCAGCUGGGACUUCUCAAGCACACACAUUAUAACCAACCUUCUCCAAAACUGGAAAAAUGGCUCAAAAGCUUUGUGCUUUCGCAGAAUGAGGCUACAUUCCUCAGCCAUAAUGCUUAAUACCACAGUCUGCAACUAAGUCAGACUAGCCUUAGAGAGAAAAUUGAAAAGAUUCCCUCUAAUGCUAGUACUUUACCCCAAAAUUAAAGUAGAGCAACACAAAGAACUAAAUUUCCAAAAUUUCCAUCAGAUCACAAUAAAAAUUCUUUGUGAUUGGAAAAAAAAGUAACACAAAGCUCAAUUUGUUGCAUGUGCUGGAAGAAAAAAAAAAAGCAGACUUGCAAACCUCAUUAGUGAUUAGCAAAGAGAACUGAAAAUACAUCAAAUUUGUGUUAAUGUUUUAUAAUAAUUUCUCAAACACUGCAAGUUACUGAGCUUUUCUCAUCUUAGUUCGCACUUGGAUCCAACUGAAAAGCUGGACUAUUCUAUCUGACAGACACAGCUAACAUGGGAAACUGUGAACCAUGCCUGGAACACAAGCUGGAGCUGCUGGAAGAGGGAAGGGAGAGCAACUACCCCACCUCAGCACCAUCUCUCCCAGCUGGCCCUGCACAAGGCCCCUCACCUGGAUCUGCCAGGUCCUGCUCAGAGCUGACCCCGCUGGCUCCCGCCAGAGCUCUCCCAGCCCAGGGUGUGAUCACGUGCCAGGCGAGCCAGGCAAGGAUUCCCAUGCAGCACCCAGCACACUGUGCCCCGUGCCCCUCCCCUGCUCAGAGCCCACACACAUCUGCCUCAGACUGAACCAGCUCUGGCUGCCUGCCAGGCACGAGGCCACGCUGCUCCUGAAGCACCACCACCCCAAGAACCACAAGGAAAGGUUAAGCUUCAGUUACUCAGGCUGAACCUGGGGAAGAGCUUACAGAAAUCUACCUCUGUGCCACGGACCAGUUAUUCCAAAAUAAUGCAUUCCCUACUACUAUCUUAUUUCACCUGUACUUCUAAAUAUAGAACGAUUCAAGAAUAAGAAAACUCCUCUCUGGAGGACCAUGGUACCAGUA